rnacentral:rRNA from 1 species
AUUGAACGCUGGCGGCAGGCUUAACACAUGCAAGUCGAACGCGUGGCGGACGGGUGAGUAAUGCUUGGGAAUCUAGCUUAUGGAGGGGGAUAACUACGGGCAACUGUAGCUAAUACCGCGUACCAUAGGAUGAGCCCAAGUGGGAUUAGGUAGUUGGUGAGGUAAAGGCUCACCAAGCCGACGUUCUCUAGCUGGUCUGAGAGGAUGACCAGCCACACGUGUACUGAGACACGGCCCAGACUCCGACGGGAGGCAGCAGUGGUGAAGAUUGCACAAUGGGCGCAAGCCUGAGGCAGCCAUUCCGCGUGUAUGAAGAAGGCCUUCGGUUUGUAAAGUACUUUCAGUCGGGAGGCGUUACCGACAGAAGAAGCACCGGCUAACUCCGUGCCAGCAGCCGCGGUAAUUC